CUCUCCUCAAAUUUCCCAAGCUGCUUGUGCAAUGAUUUCAAAAUUCCCAAGCAACUUGGGGUUGGCGAGAGAGAGAUUCAUCAAUCAUCUGUUGCUUAAGAGCGACGCAAAGGGGCGAUUCCAGUCUAUUAUUAAGAGGUCACCAUUUCUUGCUUCCGAUCUCCUCAUCUCUCUCACAAAAAUCUCCAAUUUUCGCAAUAAGGCAACAAUAUGUUUCUCUCCUUUUUUGUUUCCUCUGCUUUGAUGUAAAGAUACACGCAUAUGUAUAAACGUUUAUGCGUACGCACAGUUGUUCUGUCAUUUCAGACUGCAAGUGAGAGUUUACAGAAGUUUUUAAAAGGUGAAAGAUCAUGAUCAAGCUUGUUACCGGAGGGUACUCAGUUGGAAAAGCAUGGGAUCACUAGGGGAGAACCGAGCUUGUACAGAUUUUCAUUUCGCAUGAUGAUUAUGCUAUUAGAUCCUUACAAUUUCUUUAUGCUGAGUCUGGAAAGCUAGUUUUGUCUGACCCCCCAGAUGGUAGCUCUAUCGGAAACAAAUUCAGC